AUACGGCCAGAUCACGUUGAAAACACCGAUUUCCGUACGAUUACCGAAGUUACGCAACGUCGAACCUGGUCAGUACCUAGAUGGGUAACAGCUUGGGAAUACCACCU